AUUGAACGCUGGCGGCAUGCUUUACACAUGCAAGUCGAACGGUAACAGGCCGCCAGGUUCUGACGCGUGGCGAACGGGUGAGUAAUGCAUCGGAACGUGCCCAGCCGUGGGGGAUAACUACUCGAAAGAGUAGCUAAUACCGCAUACGAUCUAUGGAUGAAAGCGGGGGACCGUAAGGCCUCGCGCGAUUGGACCGGUCGAUGUCAGAUUAGGUAGUCGGUGGGGUAAAGGCUCACCAAGCCAACGAUCUGUAGCUGGUCUGAGAGGACAACCAGCCACACUGGGACUGAGACACGGCCCAAGCUCCUACGGGAGGCAGCAGUGGGGAAUUUUGGACAAUGGGGGCAGGCCUGAUCCAGCAAUGCCGCGUGCAGGAAGGAGGCCUUCGGGUCGUAAACUGCUUUUGUGCGGAAAGAAACGGCUCUGGUUAAUACCCGGGGCUAAUGACGGUACCGUAAGAAUAAGCACCGGCUAACUACGUG
rnacentral:rRNA from 1 species